CGCACAUUGCGCCCUUUGGUAUUCCUUAGGGCAUGCCUGUUCGAGCGUCAUUUAUAAUCUCAAGCUCUGCUUGGUGUUGGGCGCCUGUCCCGCCUUCGCGCGCGGACUCGCCCCAAAGGUAUUGGCAGCGGUCGUGCCAGCUUCUCACGCAGCAUACGCGCUUCGGAGGCAAGUCGAUCAGCGUCCACAAGCACUUUCUACCAGUUUGACCUCGGAUCAGGUAGGGAUACCCGCUGAACUUAA
rnacentral:misc_RNA from 1 species